rnacentral:lncRNA from 1 species
UAAUUAUAUAACAAGAAGUUUACAAACGAAUAACUAAUUUGUGUCUAAGAAUAAUAACACCUAACCUGGUGAACUUACAUAUCAUGUGCCAUAUUGAUGACAAAUGCUACAACAUGAUGAUUAAAUUAGAGAGAUAAUAAUACCUAUUAUAUGGUGUAUCUUGGAGGCAAAGGAUGGACAACAAACAAUGAUGAAGUACGAAGCAUAAGAGUCAUUUUUCAAACCCUACGCUUACAAAGACAUAUCGUUUUAUAAGUAGAGGGUAUGAAUGCAUGAAGCCUUUUUGAAAAGUGGAGAAUGGGUGGGAUAGAGAAA